UACAAUGCGUUCAAAUUUCAUUGAAUUUCCGAAUUACAAUGUCUAGUCCGCCAAAAAUCUUCUCUAGAUAAUAUUUUUGAAACAUUGUAAUGUGUGCCACUGAAUUUAUAUUUGAUUUUUUAGAAAGAUAUAUUCUAAAUACAAUUUGCUGUCAAUCUAAAAUCCGCACAAUUCUAAUCGUGAAAAAAAAAAAAAAAUGAUUUAAUUUUGAUAAAUGUUAAAUUUUAGUGACUAGAGAACUGUUAAUCUCGAUAAAUAUGACUUGGUUGGGACGACGAAUGUCAAUCACAAAAAAAAAAAAAAAAGUAUUUCAAAAACUAUAACUAAUGAUCGCUUGAGUAUUUUCAAAAUUUUUUUUUUUUUUUUAUCUAAGGUGUUGUAAAUGAAAAUAUAGGAAAUGAUGUUUUCACAUAUUAGAAAAUAGAAGUUAUACUUAAGUACCAAAACCCUACUUUCAUAAAAACUCAAAUUAUUCCUCACCAAAAAAAAAAAAAACUCAAAUAAUUAGUUGUUCAACUGUGGGAUAUACAUAGAUUUAAACUCAUACAGUAAAUUAAAAGUAUGGGUGUGAAUGCAUCGUAUAAGG
rnacentral:lncRNA from 1 species